rnacentral:rRNA from 1 species
UACAGAGGGGGCAAGCGUUGUUCGGAAUUACUGGGCGUAAAGGGCGCGUAGGCGGUUUGUUAAGUCGGCUGUGAAAGCCCGGGGCUCAACCCCGGAGGGUCAGCCGAUACUGGCAGACUAGAGUACGGAAGAGGUAGCUGGAAUUCCCGGUGUAGCGGUGAAAUGCGCAGAUAUCAGGAGGAACACCGGUGGCGAAGGCGGGUCUCUGGGCAGUAACUGACGCUGAGGAGCGAAAGCGUGGGGAGCGAACAGG